rnacentral:rRNA from 1 species
UAGGGAAUUUUCGGCAAUGGACGAAAGUCUGACCGAGCAACGCCGCGUGAGUGAAGAAGGUUUUCGGAUCGUAAAACUCUGUUGUUAGAGAAGAACAAGGACGUUAGUAACUGAACGUCCCCUGACGGUAUCUAACCAGAAAGCCACGGCUAACUACGUGCCAGCAGCCGCGGUAAUACGUAGGUGGCAAGCGUUGUCCGGAUUUAUUGGGCGUAAAGCGAGCGCAGGCGGUUUCUUAAGUAGGAUGUGAAAGCCCCCGGCCCAACCGGGGAGGGUCAUUGGAAACUGGGAGACUUGAGUGCAGAGGAGGAGAGUGGACGUCCAGGGGUAGCGGUGAAAUGCGUGGAUAUAUGGAGGAACACCAGUGGCGAAGGCGGCUCUCUGGUCUGUAACUAACGCUGGGGCUCGAACGGGUGGGGUGGAAAUGGG